ACCAUUUGAUACCAUCUGUUUCUCACACACAUCCAUGAGGGAAGAAUCAUUCCCAUUUAACAGACAAUGUAACUGGGCCUGAAUAUAGCUCAGCGACUUGCCCCAGGCCCACCAGGAAGUGGAUAAAGCCAUGCUCAACCCAGCACUUCUUCUCUCUACCUUCCACCGAUCCUGCCUGCUCAUCUUCCCUCCUUGGUGAAGGCAUGUGUGCUGUGCUCUGCUUAACUAAUUUCCCUCAGAUAUUCGCAUUUCUGUCUUUACAAUUUGGCAUCCCAGUGAGGUUUCCCUUUGUAUAUUUUCCGGUUCCUAUAUUCCCAUUAUUCAGGUAUCAUCACUCAAUAACCAUUUGACAGCAGUAAUGCUUUUCACAUGGAAAGAAUUGGGUUUUUAUUGAUGGCAAAUGUUGUGAUGAACUUUCAUGCCCACUUGGAGCCGGAGCACUUUUUUAUAGAAUGAACCACAAUGAGAAGCGUUUCCAAGAAAUGUCUUUGGAGUGUGGACUGAGAUGUACGUUUAGGAACAGGUCCUGUGGCCAGAGUGGGGAGAGAGGGGGCUUCCCAUUGUCAAAAUCUCAUCAAUCAAAAUGUAUAAUAGCAACAUUAUUAAUAACCCUAUAGUUGCAUUGCACUUGGUGCUCUUCCAAGCACUUCCCUAGAAUCCUAAAAUGAAGGCAGGGCAGAUAUUAUAUCCAUGUUACAGGUUAAACAACAUUGUAACAGGACUGAUAACACCAUGAAUGAGAAGUCAUUUGAUCAAUGGCCAAGGCAAUCCCCCCAGCCUGAGCUACUUCCCAGACCAGACCACAGAAGCAAGGCCAUGCUCACCGAGGACCCCACUUGUGGACUAGACUUCUGUCCUGCUGUGGCCUCAAAAGCAAUAGCCAGGGCCCCAUGAUGAAGCUGCCAUCAGAAGCACAGGUGUGCCUGGCAAGGACACAGGAGGACCACGGCUCCAUGCCGAUGAGAAUGGCAGCUAAGUCUGAAGCUUUCUAUGAUUUAGAUUCCUGGUUGCGAGAGGGAGCCUAUAGGAAUGGCGAGAAGAGUGAGAACUUUGCAGAGGCAGCAAGGCCUUGGAAGCAAAGCCCCCAGGAAUGACUGGAAGACAACACUCUGCAGACCCCUUCCACAGGGUACCCCUGCUCUCCAGGAAGGGCCUUCAGGGCAGCAUUUGGAGGUGGCAUGAGCUAGCAGCGGCGUGCAGCCUGGUCACUGUCUGAUCUGGUCAGCCCAGCCGCACAGAACACCACACAGGCUCUGGCAGCUCCCUGGGAAAGAAGAAAGCAGCAUCUUGCAUGUGUGGCUUAUUCUGAAAGGAAUAGUAUCUGAGGGAUUUGAUGGACUCUGACAGGGGGAAGAAGGUAGUGAAAAAGAUGGAACAAAGAUGCCAUUUAAAAAUACUGGCUCGUGUUCAGGAUUUCGCUAUUUUUUACUGCAAGGAACAAGUAAAAAAAAAAAUCCUCCUAUUGAUGAGUAUUUUUCUACAGUCAUUAAAAGUCAAAGGACUCAGGGCUUCCGACUUUCCCUCUUGGGAAACCUGUAAGCUCGUCUUCUGGACAGCUUAGAAAAGGGCUGGAUGGCGAAGGCGAGAGGCUUAAAGGCCCCCAGCAAGCAGCUCCGCCGAGGAACGGGUGCAGGGGACACACUGUGUUUUCAGUUCAGAUUCUGUGAUCUUUCUGCCAAACAGGGGUUUACAAAGCAAAAACCUCCAGAGAAUUCUCAUACUUUCUGGCUUAUUCUCCUGGUGUUCGUCUUAACAGGAAUCAGCUGUUUGCCUUCUCACUUAUACAGCAUGUUGCUGAGGCGAAUUUAGCAUCUGGCCUGGCUAUUAUUAAAAACAAGAACAUCCUGCUCUGUUGGGAGAACAGCACCACUGGCAAUAAAAGGACAGAGAUCAUUUGCAUUCAGGAUUCCAGAGAUGUGUUUCAGUUCAAUAUCUGCGCUCCCUCCUUCCACCCCUGCUUUCAUUUUAAGAUUUCCUGAUGCAUCCAUCACUUGCAGCGUGGUCAACUUUUUUUCUGAAACAGGCACACACAGGCAGAGCAUAUUUUUUCCUUUCACUGGGAGGCAGGAAUGACUGGAGUUGUUCAAACACCGGUCCGUUCCUGCAAUUCCUAUGAUAAAGUUGAACUACCAGAGGAAUUUUUUUUUUUUUUUUUACAACUGCGGAAAUGAAAAAGUAAACAAGACUGGGACUGCAUUGGUAUUUAGGCUCCAGCUUUUUGUUGUUGUUUUUGUCUUUCCCUUUUUUUAAGCCAUUGGGCUAGGAGCCUGAAGGGACCAUAUAAUAUGAAAAACGCUGAGAGGUUUUAUUAGCCAAUAAAAAAAAAAACUGAGUUCCUAUUAACCACUUAACUCCUUGCUGAAGUUCAAACUUGCUUUCUCCUUGGAUCCUUCUCUCCCUCUCAUGCCCACGAGGAAUGACGGUUGGUUCACCAAUCUUUCCCUGCACAACCUGAGCUCACAGUUUGUGCUCCAGAAGGUGUGGUUGAGAAUCGUAUUCAAUAAUAAUCUCUGUAUUUCUCAUCUGUGAAGCCAUAAAUAAGAUUUCUGUAAGGAGCCAAAUGUUCUACGCCCCCAAAUCUACACACACAAAGACUCUUUAAGCACUCUACUAAAAAAGAGUAAAGUCAUUGUGAUUUCUAGGAUUUUAAAUACUAAAUGAUGGUUAGGGAGAACAAAAUCAGGCUGAAGCAUUUCUGGGAUAAAUAAUGAUCCCACAAAACGCUCCUCUCAUUUGGGGGCAGAAGAAUGAAGGGAAACUCACAGAGAAACAGAAAAUGAAAUUGGUCCAACUAUUUCACUGCUGGAGAUAGAUGGAGUUAGGAUACAUAGGUGACUUGGUUUAGGAAAGAGAGGAUGUCGAAGGUGAUUUAAAUCCUAACACUGUUUUAUUAAUCGUGCCACAAUUCUACAUGUCAUGUGAUUUUGUUAUCUGCUUUUUGCUGCUUUUAAAUAAAUUUGUACUUUUCUAUCAAUCCAUCAUCCAAUUGUGUUUCGGGUGUUCUUGGCAUUCCCAUCUCUCAAAAACACCCUUAGUUUCUGCCA
rnacentral:lncRNA from 1 species